rnacentral:misc_RNA from 1 species
GAUGAAGAACGCAGCGAAAUGCGAUAAGUAAUGUGAAUUGCAGAAUUCAGUGAAUCAUCGAAUCUUUGAACGCACCUUGCGCCCUUUGGCUAUUCCGAAGGGCAUGCCUGUUUGAGUAUCGUGAACACCUCAACUCUCAUGGUUUGCCAUGAUGAGCUUGGACUUGGGGGUUUUGCUGGCCUUCGGUCGGCUCCUCUCAAACGGAUCAGCUUUCCAGUGUUUGGUGGCGUCACGGGUGUGAUAACUAUCUACGCCUGUGGUUUUCUGCCAGAUAACCUUCAGCGAUGGAGGUUCGCUGGGGCUCAUAAAUGUCUCGCUUCAGUGGAGACAGCUUUUUGGACGUUUGAUCUCAAAUCAGGUAGGACUACCCGCUGAACUUAAGCAUAUCAAUAAGCGGAGGA